rnacentral:tRNA from 1 species
CGCGAAGUGGCGCAGUGGGAGCGUGCAGGGCUCAUAACCCUGAGGUCGUCGGAUCGAGACCGACCUUCGCUA